UACGUAGGGCGCAAGCGUUAUCCGGAAUUAUUGGGCGUAAAGAGCUCGUAGGCGGUUUGUCGCGUCUGCCGUGAAAGUCCGGGGCUCAACUCCGGAUCUGCGGUGGGUACGGGCAGACUAGAGUGAUGUAGGGGGAGACUGGAAUUCCUGGUGUAGCGGUGAAAUGCGCAGAUAUCAGGAGGAACACCGAUGGCGAAGGCAGGUCUCUGGGCAUUAACUGACGCUGAGAAGCGAAAGCAUGGGGAGCGAACAGG
rnacentral:rRNA from 1 species